rnacentral:lncRNA from 1 species
GCAGGACCAGCAGUCACAUGUUGAAGAUGUGACUCUUUAAUGUUGCUCCAAGUGUUUGAGGCCUUACUGAGGGGAUGACUGUGAUGACCGACAGAGAGAACCUUACAACCCAUCCCAUGAUUGCUGGCACUCUGACUCAUGGCUGUUACUUCAUGGUCUGGAUGGCUCAGUCUGGUCCAGGUUAUGUUCGAAGCAACAGCCUUAUUCAAAGAAAGGAGGUGGUUCUGGAGGUGUCAAGGUUUGAAAGACUUUCUGGGGAUGCAAAUCCGACUUGGCACAUCUCCCACCCUCACCGUAGCUGUUCACCUCCUCCCUUCUCUGCUGCUCCAAGCCUUUGAUCUGAGUCCAAUGCCCACACAACCCAUGGGGGUCAACCGCACUCAACCCUUUCACAGGCUGGCACACUCCUCCCUGUUGGCACGGUUGUGGUCUGGCUGCCAGAGCGCCCAAAGCAGAAUGCAGCAAAUGACGUGCGAACGAGCAAAUAUGAACCUGAGUCGCUACACGUGAUGUAUGAGCUCUGUUGUCUCACACACCUCCUCUUGAGCACUAUACAUGUUCUUCUCCGCUAGAGCCUUUUCUCUCUGAUAUCGCUCAUCGGCAAUUACUUCGAGCUUCUGCCGGCGUCUGUUCUUCAGCGACGGCAUAUUCAAGCGAGCUCCAUUCAGAUGUUUCCAAAUCCCUGUCUUGUUUUUGUUUCGCGUGACCCAUCAAUCAGCACUCCUCCCAUCUGUUUGUUACUCGCUACUUACUGCCACCCUUUUAGCGUACAAUAAAUGAAAACAUCAUAACAUCCCUCUCUUUAUCUCUCAUUCUCUCACUUUCACACCCUCAGGCCUUUUGUAUUUAUACGACUUUUAGGGGAUGCCGAUCCUGCUAUAAAACCAGCACCCCUACAUUUUUGUAACUUUCUGGACAUCAUGUAAAUGAUCAAAUCAUAGCGCUUUUUCCCCAUGUUUAAUGUAGGCAUGUUAUAAAAAUGGGAAAAAGUUGUGGUAACUUAGUGAUCUCUAAUUAUGUCAUGCCCCUCAGUUCUGCGGUACAGGCAGAGUUGGUGGGAGAUGAAGAAAGGGAACACUGGAUGACUG